rnacentral:tRNA from 1 species
UAGAACAUAGCAUAAUUAAUGCUUUUCACUUACGCUGAAAGGAUGGCAAAUUUGGUUGUCUGUUCUAA